GGGGAACAGAGUAAUAGGGCAUCUGCUUUGCAUUCAGAAGGUCCCAGGUUCAAUCCCUGGCAUCUCCA